AUUGAACGCUGGCGGCAGGCCUAACACAUGCAAGUCGGGCGAGCGGAGGACGGGUGAGUAAUGUAUGGGGAUCCGCCUGAUGGAGGGGGAUAAAUACUGGAAACGGUAGCUAAUACCGCAUACUCUCAGAUGAACCCAUAUGGGAUUAGCUUGUAGGUGAGGUAAGGGCUCACCUAGGCCGCGAUCCCUAGCUGGUCUGAGAGGAUGAUCAGCCACACUGGGACUGAGACACGGCCCAGACUCCUACGGGAGGCAGCAGUGGGGAAUAUUGCACAAUGGGCGCAAGCCUGAUGCAGCCAUGCCGCGUGUAUGAAGAAGGCCUUAGGGUUGUAAAGUACUUUCAGCGGGGAGGCGUUACCCGCAGAAGAAGCACCGGCUAACUCCGUGCCAGCAGCCGCGGUAAUAC
rnacentral:rRNA from 1 species